rnacentral:rRNA from 1 species
UACGUAGGGGGCAAGCGUUGUCCGGAUUUAUUGGGCGUAAAGAGCGUGUAGGCGGCCAGACAGGUCCGUUGUGAAAACUCGAGGCUCAACCUCGAGACGCCGAUGGAAACCGUCUGGCUAGAGUCCGGAAGAGGAGAGUGGAAUUCCUGGUGUAGCGGUGAAAUGCGUAGAGAUGUGGAGGAACACCGAUGGCGAAGGCAGCCCCCUGGGCUAACACUGACGCUCAUGCACGAAAGCGUGGGGAGCAAACAGG